rnacentral:lncRNA from 1 species
AAAGAGACAUACCUCAAUGCAAAUUGCUUAUACAAGCAAAGCAAAGCAAAAAGUUCACAAGGAACUAAGCAACUAAAGCACCUGAAACAGUCAAACAGAUGUUAGUAUGCAACUUCAAACAAAACAAACAGAAACAGACACCAACAGUCAAUUAGAGGCACAUGGAUGUGCAAGGCACAAGGCUUAAGGCAUGUGAGCC